rnacentral:lncRNA from 1 species
GGGAGGAAAGGCGAGGCUCUGCAUCUAGAUUUACCUCGUUCUCUUUUGUCUCCGCUUUUUUUUCACAUUUCCUUGCGACCCUGGCCCUUGAGCGACAAAAAGGGGAAGCCAAGGCUGGCCCGAGGAACGGAGAGGGCACAUGGCCUAGCCACAAGUGGAGCUUCUGCUCCGCCCGAAGGGAUGCGCUGGAGCGGCCUCUUCCUUCUGCCACGGUCUUUCUUUGCCAACUAGUAGGUGGAGACUGGACCUCAGAAGAGGGAGUGGGUGCCCCGAGAACUCACAGCUAGCGGACAGUGGAAAGGGCAGGAGCCGGACCAAGGUGAGGACAGUGGAACUGAAGGCCGCUGGUUACCUCUCCUGCCCUCCGCUGGCCACAGUGGAGAAGACAGCCCCUCCCUCCUGCUCUGACCUGACAGUGUUCAUCCAUCGCCCUGUAUUAGCGAAGAACAACAUCAAGCUGGCUAGCAAGGAACUGUAUACAGGGUCCAGCUGGGUAUCACACUGGAUCUCACCCAAAGCUUAGAUGUGAUCCAGCUCAGUAUCACAAAGCAGAACGAAAAGGAUGUGUUUGGGCUGAGAGGCCAUACAUUGGCUCCGGCAUGACGGGUGACUUCUUCCGAGUCUGGCUUCUGCAGCACACAGGGCUUCGCCAGCACCCAGCUCCUGCAGCAUGGGCAGCUCCUGUGACAGCAGGCGCCCGCAGCCUGCAAAGCGUCUCCAGUGCCGCCGCCUCAGUGAACCUCAACCAGCGGCACCUAGCAGCUUUCUCUGCCACCCUCUUCAGGUAGUUCUGUAGCAGCGCGUUUCUCAUGAGACACUUCCCUGUGAGCAGCUUUUUCUACCCUUGAGGAUGGAUUUCCAGCAAAUUCUGCCCAUGUGGUACCACAGCCACUUCUCUGCCAUUCAGUGAAACUGCCGUUGUGCCCUCUUCAAGGUCUGGAUCUAAGCCCAGGGACCAGGAAACCUCUUGCUUGAGUGCUGGAACUCAGGCCAGAAGGUAUGGCUGCUGCUAUGUGCUGUGACCAGAGAAUCAGAGUUCUCUUUACUUCUUACCAGCCAACCUCUUGAAAAUGCCUUUUUGUUUUUUGUUUUUUUUUGAGACGGAGUCUCGCUCUGUUGCCCAGGCAGUGCAGUGGCUCACUGCAACCUCCGCCUCCUGAGUUCAAGUGAUUCUCCUGCCUCAGCCUCACAAGUAGGUGGGAUUACAGGCAUGUGCCACCACGCCCAGCUAAUUUUGUAUUUUUAGUAGUGACGGGGUUUCUCCAUGUUGGUCAGGUUGGUCUCAAACUCUCGACCUCAGGUGAUCCACCUGUCUCAGCCUCCCAAAGUGCUGGGAUUACAGACGUUAGCCAGAGCGCCCAGUCUAAGCCCUUUAUAGCUUAAUUCUAUAUAUUAAAUUUUCCCAGUUCAAAUUACUGUGUGCUUCCCUUCUCCUGAUUGGACCUUGCUUGAUACAAAAUUAGUACAAGGAGUGGUCUCAAGAGAUAGAUGCACAAAGAAGGGAUAUGGGGACGGAUUUGGGUAUUUGGGCUUGAGUGCAGACUGAGCUCCUUGACAAUGAGAAAUAGGAUAUGUAUUAGGGUUCUCCAGAAACAGAAUAACAGAAUCUAUAUAUACAUGUGUAUGUGUGUGUAUAUAUAUAUAUAUAGAGAGAGAGAGAGAGAGCUUUUAUGUGUGUGUAUAUGUAUAUAUAUAAACACACACACACUAAGGUAUUGCCUCACAUGAUUAUGGCAGUCGAGAAGCCCCACAAUCUGCUAUCUGCAAGCUGGAGACCCAAGGUCAGUGGUGCAGCAUUUUUUUUUCAGAUGGGGUCUCCCUCUGUUGCCCAGGCUGGACUGCAGUGGCACAAUCACAGCUCACUGCAGCCUUGACUUCCCCAGCUCAAGCAAGCUUCCCAUCUCAGCCUCCUGAACAGCUGGGACUACAGGUG